rnacentral:sRNA from 1 species
CUGUAUAUGAAUGGCAUUUUCAGUAAAGAAGACUUAAGUACAACCUUUAGCGUUGCAUGUUGCUUCUCUGCCGAUCCUUAUCUUAGUGCCUCAAGCAGUAACGACUUUGGUUUGUCUGUAUAACGCCUUUUUGGCGGUUUAAACAAUUAAAGGAAAUAUUUGAAAUGGCAAAGAUUAAAGGUCAGGUUAAGUGGUUCAACGAGUCUAAAGGCUUUGGUUUCAUCACUCCUGCUGACGGCAGCAAAGAUGUAUUCGUACAUUUCUCUGCAAUUCAAGGCAACGGCUUCAAAACUCUGGCUGAAGGCCAGAACGUAGAAUUCGAAAUUCAGGAUGGCCAGAAAGGUCCUUCCGCAGUAAACGUCACUGCGCUGUAAUUUUACAGCUCUGUUGCAAAACCCGCCAUGGUGCGGGUUUUUUGUU